GUAGGGAAUCUUCGGCAAUGGACGAAAGUCUGACCGAGCAACGCCGCGUGAGUGAAGAAGGUUUUCGGAUCGUAAAACUCUGUUGUUAGAGAAGAAUGUUGAUUAGAGUGGAAAAUUAAUCAAGUGACGGUAUCUAACCAGAAAGGGACGGCUAACUACGUGCCAGCAGCCGCGGUAAUACGUAGGUCCCGAGCGUUGUCCGGAUUUAUUGGGCGUAAAGCGAGCGCAGGUGGUUUAAUAAGUCUGAUGUAAAAGGCAGUGGCUCAACCAUUGUGUGCAUUGGAAAAUGUUAGACUUGAGUGCAGUAGAGGAGAGUGGAAUUCCAUGUGUAGCGGUGAAAUGCGUAGAUAUAUGGAGGAACACCGGUGGCGAAAGCGGCUCUCUGGACUGUCACUGACACUGAGGCUCGAAAGCGUGGGUAGCAAACAGGAUUAGAUACCCGUGUAGUCC
rnacentral:rRNA from 1 species